AACAGCCUCCUUUAUUGCUGAUGGGUUUCUAAUAAUGGUGUCCAUGUGGCUUUGGAACAACAGUAGCAUGUUAAUUUAUUCCCCAGUGUUACCUAGAGGCCCUGACAUGGGUCCAGGACUGGUGACACCCUAAUUUAAGUCCUGGGUAGGACCAGGCAGAUCAGGUGGCUCAGAGCUAGCACAAUAGACUGUGAGGGGAAGCCGCACUCCCUGAUCAGGGCAGAUCAGGAGGAUUCCAAGUGUAAUUGGCCUCCAGGGAGUAUGUAAGUCACUCUUGUACACCCCCUCAGACCUCCUUAAUGCCUUGCCAGCUGGAAGGAAAAGAGCCUCUUGCAUUGCCCACAAAGGAAGCAGAGAUUGAGGGGAGAAGAACUGGAGAAAUUAAAAAAGUGGAAAGAGACAGCAACACAAAUAAAGAGGUUGAAUACCAGUAG
rnacentral:lncRNA from 1 species